rnacentral:rRNA from 1 species
UACAGAGGGUGCGAGCGUUGUCCGGAAUCACUGGGCGUAAAGGGCGCGUAGGCGGCCUGGUAAGUAGGGGGUGAAAUCCCACGGCUCAACCGUGGGGCUGCCUCCUCGACUGCCGGGCUCGAGCACAGUAGAGGCAGGUGGAAUUCCCGGUGUAGCGGUGGAAUGCGUAGAGAUCGGGAAGAACAUCGGUGGCGAAGGCGGCCUGCUGGGCUGUUGCUGACGCUGAGGCGCGACAGCGUGGGGAGCAAACAGG